rnacentral:misc_RNA from 1 species
UAAAUGCUUCCUGCCUGAUGUGCAUGAAUAUGUUGCAGAUGGUUCAGUCGUAAAGACUAAACUUUUAUGCAGUUUUUUUCUUACAUAACACAUAUAGGGCUGCCCAAAUUAAUUCUACAUUUAAUGUCACCUUCAAAAUGACAAACCUACGUGGGAGGGCGAUAAAAUAAAAACAAAUAAAAUUUUCAGACAAGCGAUUUUCAUUCAUUUACAUUUAAAUACAAUACUAUGAGUAUUCAAGAUACAUGUAUACUGUUUAAUGACUGUUCCUGUCAGAUACAGACAAUUCCAUUAAGUGUUCUAUAAGUAAGCCAGUAGGUGCUCUAACUUUUUUAUAUUUUUAAAGGUUUUAGUUACAAAAAGUUAAACAAUCUUGAAAAGAUAAAACUUUGAAUAGGGGUUUGUUUUCAUUUAAACAACAAUUUCUCUUAAACCUACAUGUGCGGGUAACGUAAAACAAAGAAAUAACUUUGGAUAGCCUAAGAUACAGAUCAGAAGAGGAAAUAUUGUAGGUUGUGGUUGUGGUCGUCCGUUUAAUGAGUUACUCUUACAUGUACUGUUCACAGAAAUUAUAGUUAUAACAAACACAGGUUUGUAUUGGCAUCUGUGUCAAUGGCAGUAAACAUUUUGUUAGAUUUUAUAUCCAAACUGUUCUGAAUCAGCAAAGUACUUGAAUCAAUCCAUAAAUCAGUCUGCAUUAUUUGUCUGUGCUCUCAGCUCAGCAUGUUAUUUUUCUCUGCACAUUUGUAUGCAAGCAAGGAUAUGUGUGUAUGAAUGUUAUUUAUUAUUAAAGGGAUGUUACCCUUGUAAAAUAAAUUUGAGAAAAAC